rnacentral:tRNA from 1 species
ACCAGUUUGGCUCAGUGGAUGGAGCAUCGGCCUGUGGACUGAAGGAUCCCGGGUUCGAUUCCCGGCAGGGGUA